rnacentral:rRNA from 1 species
ACUCCUACGGGAGGCAGCAGUGGGGAAUAUUGCACAAUGGGGGAAACCCUGAUGCAGCCAUGCCGCGUGUGUGAAGAAGGCCUUCGGGUUGUAAAGCACUUUCAGUAGGGAGGAAGGUAGUGUAGUUAACACCUGCAUUAUUUGUACGUUACCUACAGAAGAAGCACCGGCUAACUCCGUGCCAGCAGCCGCGGUAAGUACGGAGGGUGCGAGCGUUAAUCGGAAUUACUGGGCGUAAAGCGCAUGCAGGCGGCCUGUUAAGUCAGAUGUGAAAGCCCGGGGCUUAACCGUCGGAAUUGCAUUUGAAACUGGCAGGCUAGAGUCUUGUAGAGGGGUUAGAAUUUCAGGUGUAGCGGUGAAAUGCGUAGAGAUCUGAAGGAAUACCAGUGGCGAA